rnacentral:tRNA from 1 species
CGACCUGCUGGUCCAGCGGGCGUCGAUGCUGGAGCUGCUCGCGGUGGUGCUGCGCCGGUUCGGAUCCGGCGGGUCGC